rnacentral:misc_RNA from 1 species
CAUUAAGAGUGAGAACGUGUGAACUGUGACGUCACACAACAUUCGAGUUGUAUUAUAUUUGUUGGGAUUGCCGGCGAGGGGUCAGUGUUGUGCCAUCCGCGGGACUGACAACAUGGCGAAGCUACUCUUUGUACUCGGUCUUGUGACCAUAGCCAUGGGAACGCCGUAUGACUAUGGCGGUUUCGACUCAUUCGGCCCACCUACCUACACAAAAACACAACUGGGUGAGAGCAUAGACAAGUCCACCUUGAAACUGCUGAAGGUGGCUUACGAUGUAGCUGAAAACAAGAACGUGAUAUCGUCGCCCCUCAGUCUUAUGGUUUUGCUGGCUCUAUUUAAUACUGGCGCUGGACCUGAAGCCAGGGAGGAGAUCACCCGGUUCCUGGGAGGCUCAGACUUCAAACAGACCUCGGACUCAUACAGGGACUUGAGCGUUCGGUUCUCGGAGUUGAACCCUGAGGCUCUGACAGUCGCCAACAAGGUGUGCGUGUCCGACAAGCUGAGCCUGCAAGACACCUUCACCGCCGCUGCCCGGUCUUACCGCAGUGAGGUCGACACCAUCGACUUCGGAAACGCCCAGGCCGCUUCUGACACCAUCAACCAAUGGGCUGACCAGAAGACCCAGGGUAACAUCAAGAAGCCCACCAGCCCGGACAUGUUCGGUGACGACGUCGUCGCUGCGCUUUUCAAUGUCAUCUACUUCAAGGGUCACUGGCACGUACCUUUCAAAGCUUCAGAGACGACAGACAAAGACUUCCACCUCACCAAAGAAUCAAAAGUUCAGAAACCGACGAUGCACCUUCUGCAAUCUCUGUAUUAUACUGAGAGCCCUGAACUCGGUGCUCGGAUGGUGGAGCUGCCCUACAAAGAAAGGGGCUUCCGUAUGGUUGUUGUGCUCCCGAACGAAGUAGACGGUUUACCAUCAGUUCUCGAAAAGGCUGCGGAGAAGGGUCUUCUCAAUGAUGUGUUCAACCUGAGCCCAGCUGGAGCCGACGUAGACCUGGACAUCCCCAAGUUUGACAUCAAGAGCAAACUGGACUUCAAUGACAUCCUGCCCAAGCUCGGAGUGUCAAAACUGUUCACCGAGGGUGCCGGAGGCAUUGUCAAGGAUCAAUCUGUGGUAGUAUCGAAAGCUUUCCAAGAAGCUUUCAUCAAGGUCGACGAGGAAGGCGCCACCGCUGGUGCUUUCACAGGAUCAGUUAUAAUGCCGAUAUCUUUAAUUUCUCAACCACCGCGUCCUAUCAAGUUUACAGUAGAUCAUCCAUUCUUAUACUUGAUCCUCUUCGAAGACAAAGUUCUUUUCGCAGGCACUUGCACAAGCUAAGGAGGACUGUUUACCACCAACAUGUUAGUCUAUCCCGAACCAAAACCAAUUGCGUUUACAGUCGACCGUCCAUUUUUAUAUGUGAUCCUCUUUGAAGAUAAAGUUCUGUUUGCUGGCACAUAUACAAAUUAAUCAGACACAACGCCUAGUCGCUGUUCCCAUGUCUUCAUUCUCAAGACCACCAGAACCAAUUAAAUUCCACGUAGACCAUCCGUUCUUAUACCUCAUACUUUUUGAAGACAAAGUUAUUUUUGCUGGCACUUAUGUCAAGUAAAAUUGUAAGAUACUCAAAUUAUUAUAAAAGUUGCCAA